ACGAACGCUGGCGGCGUGCUUAACACAUGCAAGUCGUACGGUAAGGCCCUUUCGAGGGUACACGAGUGGCGAACGGGUGAGUAACACGUGAGUAACCUGCCCACAACUUUGGGAUAACGCUAGGAAACUGGUGCUAAUACUGGAUAUGUGCUCCUGCUGCAUGGUGGGGGUUGGAAAGCUCCGGCGGUUGUGGAUGGACUCGCGGCCUAUCAGCUUGUUGGUGGGGUAGUGGCCUACCAAGGCGGCGACGGGUAGCCGGCCUGAGAGGGUGACCGGCCACAUUGGGACUGAGAUACGGCCCAGACUCCUACGGGAGGCAGCAGUGGGGAAUAUUGCACAAUGGGCGCAAGCCUGAUGCAGCAACGCCGCGUGCGGGAUGACGGCCUUCGGGUUGUAAACCGCUUUCAGCAGGGACGAAGCUUUUUGUGACGGUACCUGCAGAAGAAGCACCGGCUAACUACGUG
rnacentral:rRNA from 1 species